GACGAACGCUGGCGGCGUGCUUAACACAUGCAAGUCGAGCGGAGCGGCGAACGGGUGAGUAACGCGUGAGUAACUGCCCCCCUCUCUGGGAUCACAGUUGGAAACGGCUGCUAAUACCGGAUAGUGGGGGAUGACGCGGGGCCGAUCAGCUUGUUGGUGGGGUAGUGGCCUACCACGGCGACGACGUGUAGCCGGCCUGGGAGGGCGACCGGCCAAAUUGGGCAGGGAUACGGCCCAAACGGCGACGGGAGGCAGCAGGGGGGAAGAUUGGACAAUGGGGGAAACCCUGAUGCAGCAACGCCGCGUGCGGGAUUACGGCCGUCGUGUUGUAAACCGCUUUCAGCCAUGACGCGGUAGUGGCAGAAGAAGCACCGGCUAACUACGUGCCAGCCGCCGCGGUAAUAC
rnacentral:rRNA from 1 species